rnacentral:rRNA from 1 species
UUGAACGCUGGCGGCAUGCCUUACACAUGCAAGUCGAACGGUAACAGGUCUUCGGAUGCUGACGAGUGGCGAACGGGUGAGUAAUACAUCGGAACGCGCCUAGUAGUGGGGGAUAACUACUCGAAAGAGUAGCUAAUACCGCAUGAGAUCUACGGAUGAAAGCAGGGGACCUUCGGGCCUUGUGCUACUAGAGCGGCCGAUGGCAGAUUAGGUAGUUGGUGGGAUAAAAGCUGACCAAGCCGACGAUCUGUAGCUGGUCUGAGAGGACGACCAGCCACACUGGGACUGAGACACGGCCCAGACUCCUACGGGAGGCAGCAGUGGGGAAUUUUGGACAAUGGGCGAAAGCCUGAUCCAGCAAUGCCGCGUGCAGGAUGAAGGCCUUCGGGUUGUAAACUGCUUUUGUACGGAACGAAAAAGCUCCUUGUAAUACAGGGGGCCCAUGACGGUACCGUAAGAAUAAGCACCGGCUAACUACGUGCCAGCCGCCGCCGUAAUAC